rnacentral:lncRNA from 10 species
UUUCCUGGACUACUAACAGGAGGUGAAAAGAAAGAUUAGGAUAGCAUUAUAAAAUUCAUCUCUCGAGGGCUCCCUCUUCUGUUGCUAUAGAAGACGACUCUUUUCUUAAACUCUGUGAACACCUACUCUGCCUCUCAGAACUGAACCUGGUUCCAAAGAGCUUCUACACACAGUCCUGGGCUUCCUGAUUUAUUCACAGGCUGCAGGGACACAGAUAUUGCCUUCUAAGAUGAUGAUACUGCUUUUAGAAGUUAUUUUACUGGUGCUUUCUAAGGUCUGCAAUCUCUGAUUGGGCAGCUUCUGUCCUUCUCUCUCUCCCUUCCCAAUGUUUGGAGCCUAUUCAGUCGCAGCCUUGUUUUUAGGGUACAGCCACCACUAAACUCCUUCCCCACUUCCAGUACUUUCCCAUAUUGUCUUGAUUUCCUAUGUGGGCUUGCUGUCCUCAGUUGCCUAUUGCAGCAUUCACAUUUAAUUUUGGAGUUUUGGAGUUUUCUUAGCUAUUUGCUGAAAGUUCAGUUUCUAUGAAUUUAUUUUCAUUUUCUUGGUUGCUCUGGAUAGAUUUCAGGAGAAGAAAUGAUACAUUUAUAUUUUUAUUGGAUAAGAAAUUUUAGCAGGGUUGCUGGAUAUAAAAAUUAGUUUGGAAAAUUAGCUUAUUUUAUAUAUAUUUAAGCAACAAAAAAGGAAAAUGAAAUAUUAAAAAGAUACUAUUUACAAUAGUGUCAGAAAUAUCAAAUAUAUAUAGAGAUAUAAUAAAAGAUCAGUGAAACUUCUGCAUAGCAACAAAUACAAUUAUAUUAAGAAACAUUACAGAAGACCUAAAUGAAUUGAAAAUCAUGAUUGGAAGGCUCAAUGUUGAAGAAGUCGCUCGUCUCUCAGGUUAAUGUAUGGAUUUGAUGCAAUAUCAUCCAAAAUCCCAAAAGGCCUUUUUUGUUGUUGUUGUUGUUGUCUUAUUGUUCAUUUGGUUGGUUUUUCUUUUUUCUGGAACUUAAGCUGAUUUUUUUUUUUUUUUUUGAGACAGGGUCUCGCUCUGUUGCUCAGGCUGGAGUGCAGUGGUGCAAUCUCAGGUCACUGCAACCUCUGCCUCCUGGGUUCAAGCAAUUCUCCUCCCUCAGCCUCCCAAGUAGCUGGAACCCCAGGCUUGUGUCACCAUGCCUGCCUAAUUUUUGUAUUUUUAAUAGAGACGGAGUUUCACCAUGUUGGCCAGGCUGGUCUCGAACUCCUGACUUCAGAUGAUCCACCCUCCUCGGCCUCCCAAAGUGCUGGGAUUACAGGCGUGAGCCACCACGCCCUACUGUGUUGUAAUACUUUAAGCCAGUGUUAUCUAAUGCAACAGGUACAAUUUAUUGUAAUAUUUUGUUUAACCCAUUACAUCCAAAACAUUUAAACAUAUAUAAAAAUUUUUAAUGUGCACUUCAAUAUUCUUUUUGAAAAUUUCUUGUAGUAAGUCCAGAAAUAAAAAAAAAGUCCAGCUGAUAUAUACUUACAGCACAUCUCAAUUCAUAUGCUAAAGUUAGAGUUCAUAAAAUUUAAGUUGGAAAAACAGAUUCAUAUAUCUGAGUUGUUGCAAACACACUUAAAAGUAUUCCAACAAUUGAAUCGAGCAUCAGGUUUUUGGUUUUUGUUUAAUUCAAAUUCAAUUAACGAUUCAGUUUUUCCGUCUCAACCACAUUUCAAGUGCUGAGUAGCCACAUAUGGCUAGAGGACAGCCUACUGGACAGCACAGCUUAAGGAGGUACACAAUGUACUUAUCAGUCAUCAUCUUUCUUUUUCCUACUGAAUUUACGUAAUAUUUAAAUUGUUUUUCUUUGUCAUAUCCUAGAACUCAAACGCACAGAUACAAUGGAUACCUUUGAUUUUCUGCGUCGAUGGCAUUUUGCAUUUAAAAAGAUCAUCUGGGUGGGGUGGCGCGCGUCUGUAAUCCCAGCUACUCGGGAGGCUGAGGCAGGAGAAUCGCUUGAACUCGAGAGGCGGAGGUUGCAGGAUCGCGCCACUGCACUGCACUCCAUCCUGGGCGACAGAGCAAACUGUCUCAAAAGAAAAAAAAAUCAUUUAUCACUAAAUUUACUCACCAAAAGAACUUGCCUGUCACAGUUGAGAAGUCAGGAUGGGCGUUUUCCUCCCAGGAGGUGCCCUAUUAAUUUGCGGCCUCGAUAGUUGGUCAAGCCGGGAUGUUAGCUGCGGAACCUCCAGGACCGAAGAGCG